AUUGAACGCUGGCGGAAUGCUUUACACAUGCAAGUCGAGCGGCAGCACGGGGGCAACCCUGGUGGCGAGCGGCGAACGGGUGAGUAAUACAUCGGAACAUGCCCAGUCGUGGGGGAUAACACUUCGAAAGAAGUGCUAAUACCGCAUACGUCCUGAGGGAGAAAGCGGGGAUCUUCGGACCUCGCGCGAUUGGAGUGGCCGAUGUCAGAUUAGCUAGUUGGUGGGGUAAAGGCCUACCAAGGCAACGAUCUGUAGCUGGUCUGAGAGGAUGAUCAGCCACACUGGGACUGAGACACGGCCCAGACUCCUACGGGAGGCAGCAGUGGGGAAUUUUGGACAAUGGGGGCAACCCUGAUCCAGCCAUUCCGCGUGAGUGAAGAAGGCCUUCGGGUUGUAAAGCUCUGUCGGAAGGGACGAAUACUUCUGUGGUUAACAGCCACAGGAACUGACGGUACCUUCAAAGGAAGCACCGGCUAACUCUGUGCCAGCAGCCGCCGUAAGAC
rnacentral:rRNA from 1 species